UACGUAGGGUCCGAGCGUUGUCCGGAAUUAUUGGGCGUAAAGGGCUCGUAGGCGGUUUGUCGCGUCGGGAGUGAAAACACGGGGCUUAACUCGGUGCUUGCUUUCGAUACGGGCAGACUAGAGGCAUGCAGGGGAGAACGGAAUUCCUGGUGUAGCGGUGAAUGACGCAGAUAUCAGGAGGAACACCGGUGGCGAAGGCGGUUCUCUGGGCAUGUCCUGACGCUGAGGAGCGAAAGUGUGGGGAGCGAACAGG
rnacentral:rRNA from 1 species